CUGGAAACAGCCACUCGUGGCGGCGUUGGUACACCGAAUAUCCCUGCACAAACCUCAACGGCACAACGGCAUUAUCAGACGACCGAAGUUCUUCCUGCUCCAAAGGUAACCUAUCGUCAGCUACCUGGCCCGGAGUGGAGCGGACCUGUGCCACUAAUCACCUGGGGGCGCGGUUACGCAGCUGUAUCAACACCAAGCGGCCCGCUCUGGGUACCUGCACGAUACGUUCGACCAUACAAGGAUGGCGUGGCAUCAGGGACUGAGCAACCCCAUCCCUGACUUCAACAUACACUUAUAUGAUGAACAAGGAAAAGUAACAACGGGCCGAAAACGAGGGGGCCAACGAAAUGCACCUGUCACAUGGGGCCAAGUAAAGAACCUAGCUAAUCAGGCUGAACAACUGUUGGAAAAAACAGGACAAGAGAAAACGGCAGAGAACUAUAUGAUGGCAUUAAUAGCCUCCUUAAAUGCCAAUUCUGUACUUUUGUUAACAAUAAUUAUUUUCAGUUUAACUACUGUCCCUACGGAAGGGGGGCCGAUAAUGACUGGGGGGGUUCAUCUUAAUAUAUGGGAGGUAUUUGCAAAGACUUUAAACCAAAGUACCUUCUGCUUAACGGAGCAGAGGGCGGUGGGGGAGGUGCUAGAAUUAUGCCUGCAAAUUGCUUAAAAACAAAAAGGGGGAGGUGUAGUGAAACAUGCUGUGCUGGCAAACCACACACGUGUUUAUUACAUUUACUCCUGGCUUAA